rnacentral:rRNA from 1 species
GUCCACGCUGUAAACGAUGAGCGCUAGGUGUUGGGGGUAUUGACCCCCCCAGUACCGCAGCUAACGCGUUAAGCGCUCCGCCUGGGGGAGUACGGCCGCAAGGCUAAAAACUCAAAGGAAUUGACGGGGGCCCGCACAAGCGGUGGAGUAUGUGGUUUAAUUCGACGCAACGCGCAAAACCUUACCUGGGGUUAAAAUCCACAAGAACCUUACAGAGAUGUAGGGGUGCCUUCGGGAGCUUGUGAGACGGUGCUGCAUGGCUGUCGU